GAAGCCUAUAUUGCAGUUUACUCAUUUUACUGAAACAAAAUUGCAGCAUAAGCACCAGUUUCACAUGGUCUUUCCCUACCUGAAGUAUAAGCUUUGCAAAAUGAAUAAUACUGGAAGUUAACAUUAGGUGUCAGUAUUUUACAUAUUAUUUAGCAAAAGAAUAUCAAGGGAAAGAGCUUCUGUGAAAAAAAAAAAAAAAAAAAAAGAAGGAGAAUAUUGCAGUCUGCUUUUUCAAAUGCUUUAAGUUAUCACAGUUAGAGUAAUAUCAGGAAUAAUUAUGUGUGAAAUAAUUAAUUGUGUAUACCCCGAAUGCUUCUUGCUAGUUACAUCUCUGAUUUAAAAUUCAAUACUAAGUACCACGGCUUUCUAAUUGUGAUAACACUUCAUUCUUGGAUUGUCUGAAGAAAUUACAUUUUUCAAAUUGAACUGCAGGACAUGAGGAUCUGUAGAUGACAGAAAAUUGAUACCCAGGUAGAGGGAGAAAAUGCCUACAAAAUGAAGGCAAAUGUGAGUAUGCAGAUACCUGGUUGUGUGUGAUCUUUUCCAGCAGCAUAAACAACAUAUAAAAAUGCACAGAACUCUUAAGCUCACUGCAACUGUUGAAAAUAUGAGGAAGAAAUACUAUGGGAUCCAUCUGUGCAUUUUUAACCCUGUUCUGCCAUGGGAACACCAAAGCCAAGGCAAAGUCUCCCUUCACAAGCAGCAAAGGAUGCCUUUGUCUUCCAAAAGAACAAUAUAGUCUGAGGGAAGGAAAGGGCAUGAAAUAAUAAUGUUUUCAUCUGAGCUUGUGGCAUUACAGAGAGUGGGAAGGAUGUGACUCCUUUGAAGAGCUUGAAUCCCAAAAAUUCCUUGUCUGACAGUGACAGAACCCACCUUGAUUUCAUUUUACCAGCAAAUUAUUAUACAUUGGUAGACGUAGUAAAAAAGAUGCAAGAAAGGAUGGAAGAUACUAAACCAAAAUAAUUAACUUUUUAACCUGUGUUAGAUAUUCCCAAACAGUACUGGGUACACUGGGAAUUCCCUGUGAAAUUACAGCCUUUGGGGUAGGGAUGGGCUUUGGUUGGGAUCAAAAAGGUGAAAAGAAACAUUUUGGGGCUAAAUCCACAGAGGGGCCUGAUAGGAUGUGUCGACAUCAAAGCAGCCACAUCAAUAUUUUAUUUUAAUACGUUUCCCUGAGUCACAGAAUUGCUGAGGUUUUAAAAGAACUCCAAGAUCAUAGAGUCCAACCACUCACACUGCCAUGUUCACUGUUAUACUGAAGCCAUGGUGAGGUAGGUGUGUUAUUUCCUAUAAAAAGUGUGUAUAAAAUACAGUUCACAGGGAGCUGACAUGCCCAGAGACCCCUCCAAAACCUCUGCAGGUUCCCAUCUGAACCCCUGGGCCCUGAAGCUGGUGCAAAUAUAUUUCUGAAAAGCUGCUCACUCUCUGAGACCAGCUGAGAGACAGUUUUGCAUCGUAAGCUUAAACUUUUGUCAAUAUUUGUGAAAUAUAUUUAGACAGCUUAUUCAGAAAUGAGUAAGUUAUAGAUCAGUAAUUCAUACUUUUUAUAUCCCGAGUUUUUAUUUCCUAAACUUACUCUUCUAAGCAUCGUUUUAUGUUUCUAGUUAAAUAUAAGUGAGAAUUGAUUGGGGUAUUUCUCAAUGGAAUUCUAUCUUUAUUUCAUCAUAAUUGCUUCAUAUUUGAAUAAUGACAGAUGAACUACUUCAUUCAAUUGCAGUUUUAAGGCUUUGAAGUCACAAUAGCAGCAAAGGAUUUAAAUCCUGAAACCAUUAUUAUGGCAGAGAAGACAUCAGGGAAAAGGAAAACUUAUGGUAGUGUAAUUUUCUAGACAGAAAAAUUCUUCUGCGGUUGCACUUUUUUUCUUUUAUUAUAUUUUCUCUGGACAUUUUAUUAAUGUUAAAAGAACCCUGGAAGAAGAGAUUGGAAAUGCUGAAUGAGAGUCCUACUGUAAGUAAACUUCUGUAGUUAUUUGGCUUUGGAGCUGGCUACAAACCUUUUAAAAUUCUGGGCAGCUGCAAUACUGUAUUUCACCAAUAAAGAGUUCAUUAGAUCUUUCUUCUCUCUGACAUUUUACAUCUAGUCCUGAGUACAUGUUAAUACUCCAAGGUAUGAAUUUCAAAGUUCCCUUUAUCUUUGUGUACAGUUUUAAGCAAUUAAUCAAAUGAUAAUAUACAGCUUUAAGAUUAGAAACGAAUUGUGAAUUUAAAGUAUAUGUUCAAAAAGUUUCUACAUUAUAAUUUGGGGGGGUGGGACCUCAUCAACUGAACUUAAUUCUGGUGUUAUUUUUUAUUUUUUUUUACCUUACAUUUUACUGAGGAAUUUUGAAGUGAUCCUCAAAUUGUUAAAACAUGACCAAAUGGUCUAUCCAGGAUAGUUCUUCCUCCUCAGAGGCUACAUCAAAGUGGCAGAGACAUAGAAAAAUCAUUAUUCAAUAUGUUCAAAAUGAUUCCCACGUGGGGGAAGAUUUAUCCAGGCUUCUGAAAUGAGCGUGGGGGCAAACAGCGCCGAGACCCCUUCAUCUGAAAUAAAAGUGAGUGGCAGCUGUACCAUCCCUGAGCAAGGCAGGAAUUUGAAGAUAUGCAUGAAGUGUGCUGGGGUGGGGGUUGCCACAUAAUUUUGGCAGCUGGGGCCAAAUCCAACCUCUUGAGUUCAACCUGUAACUUUUCUACUCCGAGGACGUUCCUGGUGCCUCAGUUUUGAAAGCCUGGGGUGGGGUGGCUGCUCCAAAGGUAAUUGGGAUGGAACAUCUGCAAAGUUCCCUUUGAUACCUGAGCACAAGGCAUUAAGGACUGGGGGUUUCUAAAUGUCAUCAAUGAAUACCAGCAGAAACACGCUUGUAAUUAUUUUGCCUGUAUUUUCUGUUUUAUUCACCAAGGUGUGUCAAGCACACAACACCCUUUCUUCUUAAUGACUGUGUUAUUUUAAUUUUCACCUGGGAGGUUAAAGGCAAUAUUCAGAAAUAUUCAUUCUUCAGACAAGACAUGGAAGCAGUUGUAACAUCUUAGCUGAAGGCCUAAUGUUUAAUGGGUUUUUUUGCUCAGAAGAUUUAGGAGGGUCACAGUAACUGGAGCUUGAAAUAAAGAUCUGGAUACCCCCAUUCACCAAUAACCUGAUUUCCUGACAUCUCCCAGAUGCUGUGAGAAUACAGCAAUUGCCUGCCAGAAGGAGGGAGCUGAGGAAAAGGGCAAAGGGGUAGAGCCAUGCACACAAACUACAAGGAUCUGUAUAUUACAUGAGCAAAUAAAAUCACAGGAAGGGAUUGGAACUGACAUAAGGAAUUAAUUAAUUCAACUAACUGCUUCAAGUCUUUGAUAAACUGAUUUAUUUGAUGCUUCCCAGUCCAUUCCAAGCAGCACAGUCUCCCCUGAAAGCUUCUGGACAUGAGAGAGGACAUUAAUCUGUCUGCAGAGGAGUUUGACAUCCUGCAACUGACUCUCCCUUGCAUUUGUUGUUUUCUUUUUCCUGGCACCAGUGCCUGGACAGUUCUCGUGUGCUCUGGGAUGGCAGCAUGGCUGAGAGCAGAGCUGCCACUUGGAUAGAGCAAGAGACAGGAGAAUACUUCAGCAAUUCUUAUUUCCACUAGAUUUGAUGGGCACACAUUGGUUUUUUUCGUGAAUAGCUUUUUUGGCUGCUUGCUUUUGCUUUGUUUAUUUAUUUAUUGUGAAUGGGGACUUCGAUCCUGUAGACAUGAGACUGAUUUUCCUCAAAGGCUGAAGCAGAAGGAGAAAACAUCUCAGACCAUCUUAUCUUUGUUCUCUGUUCCUCCUUAGCAUGGGAUUUUACAGGAUUUGGGACUUUCUCCACUGGAAACUAUUCACCAAGUAACUCACACUCCUUUAACAGAGGUAGAAGCAACACUGGCUGAGCAUCAUUUUUGUGCUAAGGACUGACAUAUUCCUUCCAGACUCUUCCUUCACCACAAAAACAUUGACAAAAACAUUGUUUUUGUAGCUCUGACUUGAUCACGGGCUCAUAGAUCAAGAUAUUGCCUCCCUGAGAGCACAACUCUUUUCUUUUAAGGUUCCUUAUUGUGUGAUAAAGUGUGUAAAACCACCUUUUUUGGCAGUUUGGUAUUGUAGUACUUUUAGCACUCCAGAAAAUACAUUUACACUGCAUUUCAAGCUUGCAUGUAACUAAAUCCUGUCAAGGAAAGUCUUUACAUAAUGCAUCAACAUAUGCUGGGGUUUUGUCUCUUUUUUUAGUACAGUAUGGCUAUACAAUGGAUUGGAGUGGCUUUUCUAAGUUAUUAAAUAUAGCCCUAGGCAAGGCUGGCUUUUAAAAUAAAUGGCAAGAUCCGUAAAAACA